UACGGAGGGGGCUAGCGUUGUUCGGAUUUACUGGGCGUAAAGAGCGCGCAGGCGGUCGUUCAAGUCGCGUGUGAAAGCCCCCGGCUCAACUGGGGAGGGUCACGCGAUACUGAUCGACUCGAAGGCAGGAGAGGGAAGUGGAAUUCCCGGUGUAGUGGUGAAAUGCGUAGAUAUCGGGAGGAACACCAGUGGCGAAGGCGACUUCCUGGCCUGUUCUUGACGCUGAGGCGCGAAAGCUAGGGGAGCAAACGGG
rnacentral:rRNA from 1 species